GAACUCUUGCUUGGAGCAUCUCUUCUCAGCACAUUGGCGUUUGAUGAUCUGAGACGGGCAAGAGCGACACACAUACUGAAAGAGGGGACAAAGCCCGCCUUCCAUGGAUGCUAAGAAAGAGGUCAGCUCCGCCCCCCGCCCCACCCCAGGCUGCUGCCCCUGCACAGGGACUCUUUAGGGUCACAAACAGUGAAGAAAAAGUGGAGGAAACACCACGUGGGAGGUUCCUGGGUUGAUUUACCCCUGUCUUCAGCUGUGUGACCUCAGGCAAGAAUAAGCAGCUGACAAGUUGGAAGCAACGAUGGGGGGUGGGCCUGGCGACACAGCUGCGGAGUCCCUUCCUCCCCCUGGAACCACCUUCAGCUGCUGCAGAUCUCUUUCCAGGAAGGCUGCUUCUCCUUUCCCUCCAGCCUAGAUCUGAAACUCAGUGAUGAAUUUCUGCUGCUUUCAGAAACAAUUCAAGUUUCCCUUGUGUAUUUCACGGCAAGAAAAGAAACUCAUUCAGAUCACCUGCUCUGCUCUCCUCCUUGUAAAUGACAAUUCAAAUGCAAAAAUCCCAUUUUUCUCUAAGGUCCAGAACAGGGUAGAGAAGAUAGUUUUUCUGUCCCUGCAUACAUUUCAAACCCGCCCCCCCACCCCGGCCUUUUUUUUUCUCUAAAAUAACACUUGGGAAGUUCUUUGUGCCUGUUC
ensembl:lncRNA